rnacentral:rRNA from 1 species
UGCGUAGGUGGUUCUGCAAGUCUGAUGUGAAAUCUCCGGGCUUAACCCGGAAAUGGCAUUGGAAACUGCAGGGCUAGAGUGUUGGGGGGGGGACUGGAAUUCUCGGUGUAGCAGUGAAAUGCGUAGAUACCGAGAGGAACACCAGUGGCGAAGGCGAGUCCCUGGACAACUACUGACACUGAGGCACGAAAGUGGAGGGCGAACAA